ensembl:lncRNA novel transcript
AAUUACAGAAAGCACACAACACCCUACAGUGAGCAGAACGCAGCUCCUUCCCUCCACCCACCUCCCCACUACAGAGAAUGAUCCAGCCCAAUGCCAAAAGCACUGAAGCCGGGAACCCUGACUGAGAUCUCAGCUUCAAUGCUCCUUCCUCAGAGACCUUUCUGUCCCUGACCUUUCUGAGGAGUAUACCCUCUUUUUAUGGGCCCUCAAAACCCCCUCCCUGUGGCAUUUGUUUUAGUUAACAAUUCUACACUUAUGCAUGUGAAUUUGUGAUUAGCAUCCAUCUCCCCCAUCACAGUUAUGAGGGCGAGAGCUAGUUUCCUCCCUGUUGUGCAGGGCACAUAGCACAACGCCUGGCCCCGUAGUCAGGCUCACUAAAUAUUUGCUGAAAGUAGAAAUGAAUAAACAGGACUGUAGCUUCUAGGGGCUUCUGUGGGAGCCAGUAUCGCCAUUCAUACCUGGGGAUUAUGGGAUAUUUUCAACAAAAACAUGCACUUUGCACAAAGUGAAAGUCAGAGCCUGGAGCCUGUGCAAACGGUGCCUUGAGCAGCUCUACGGCGAGUGUGAGGAUGCAGUCAGGGGUCCUUCAGCAGGAGCCGGGGCAUCCUGCAGAACACAGGGCCGGGAUCUUCAGAUGUGCAGCAGGGAGGGGGCUUGGCACAGCCCCAUGAGUUUGAGAAGCUUGAGGCAUUAAGGUGAGUUUCUUGUGGUGCAGCGCGCCAGCAGUGAAGGGAAGUGGUUCUCUCUCCCCUCAUGCACAGACACGCACAAUGUCCAGGAUCCAGGCAGAGAAGCUUCAUCAAAGUUGUCUGUGUUUUGCCGCAGCCGAAUAAAAGCUGUAGGCUUUUCUAAGAAGGGUUAUAAAAGGGAGCAGCCGUGAAGCCCGUGGACAAGUCAUCAAUUACAGCAAUUACAGUAGCACCAUAACCUUCCCAGGCUUGCUGGAGGGAGGUUGCUGUGGCCACAGGAGGUGCACCGCGGAUUACAGGACUAAAGGCCUUCUCUGCUUCUUCACAGUGAUCCAUCUCUGCCCAGCACCCAAGUACUGAGUUAACCUACAACGUGGUUCAGAAUUAAAACAUAAAAUGCCAGGGCCCUCCCCCAGUUAGCAGUAUUGGUUGGAAACAUGUUUAGCAGUGAGUAACAGAAGUCCCAAGAAAUAAUGGCUAAAACAAACAAGAGUAUGUGUCUUCACAUAGUAAGGUAUCAAGAGGUGGCUGUCACUUUAAGUUCACUUUCUCAUGGAUGCCAUCAAACACCAGGUUUAUUCAACCUUCAUGCACUGCCAUCACCUUCCCAUCCACGGACUCUUCCGACAUCUGCUGAACGUCAUCACAAGGGGGCUGCCAUAGCUCCACCCGUUGUAUCAGCAUUCAGGGAAGGAGGACAGUGCCAACAAUAUGUCUGCUCAUUUUUUUAAGAGAGGAAAAGACUCUCCUGGAAGUCCACGGCAGCAUUAUGCUUACUUCUUACUUGCCAGAACUUUGUCAUAUGGUCAGACUUUAAAGCAGAGAGGCCUUUGCUGUCAGUGGAAUACAGCAACACACAAGACAGACACAGUUGCCUUCCCGCUGAGGCUGGACGUCUACAAAGAAACUCUGGACAGCUAUUUGCCAAGGCGAUGGGCACUACAGAUGAGACGCACAAAUGAUAUGACUCAUGGGUGACGCUGGGCAAACCUCGGUGGUUGAGUCCUGUUGGGUUUUCUCAUAGGAGGUGAGUUGGAAGCGGAGACCUACAAGUAGGUCAGAUAGGAUGGUGUGAAAAGAGCCCCACCCAGCCUACAGGGACCACAUGUAGGGAUAAAGAAAGGAGCAGGAUAAUUUCCAAGGACUAGAAUCCCAGCUUGGUUGGAGUUCAGAGCCUGAGAGCAGAAUUUUCUCCAGGACAAGGCAGAAGGAACUUGCGGGAAGCUUCCCCUAUCACCCCUGCUCCCCACACCUGUAGAGAUUAAAUGAAGAUAUCUGUUUCUUAAGCACCUGUACCCCCACCACAGCCUCUGGAAUGUGAUAGGCA